AUCGCUUCUCAGUCUUUUGGCAGGGACCAAGUGCAGCAUCUGUUCUUAUCAUUUAAUAUCUGAUAAAUUCUCUAUUGAUUUUAAGGCUAAUUAUACUACACUGGAGAAAAGAAGCCAGAUACAAAAGAAUACAUAGGCAGUUGUAUUAUGUCAAGUGUUUUUCCUCA
rnacentral:snRNA from 1 species